UCAAGAUAAUUUUUUCUCUCCUGAAACUCCAAAGCUGUGUUCUGCAUCUCCUUCCCCCUCUUCUCAAAACCCUAACAACAAAAGCCGCGUCUUGUUAUUCUUGUAGUUGUAAUCGGUGUCGCUUCUGCCAACUACCUCUCCUCUGCUGCUAUUCUCGGUUGAAAGAGAUGAGUGCAUUUAAGGCUUUCAAGGCACAGGUUCCUGUUGCAUGGAGCCCCAACUUGUAUAUAACUUUAGUGAGGGGAAUGCCGGGAACCAGAAAACUUCACAGACGAACCUUGGAGGCAUUACGUCUUGGCAAGUGCAACAGGACUGUGAUGAGAUGGAACACUCCAACUGUUAGGGGAAUGAUACAGCAGGUUAAAAGAUUGGUGGUUGUUGAGACUGAAGAGAUGUACAAGGCCCGAAAGGAAAACCAGGAGAAGCAUCGAGCUUUACGUCCUCCACUGGUUGUCAGCCAUCUACCUACUCCUGCUAGUGAAUCUUCUUAGAUCCCAUUCCGAAAUUUUGAGGUUUUAUUUCAGGGGUGUGGACCUUGUGGUGCCUCGUUUUUAAGUUCUAGCAGAAAGGAGUUAAACAAAUCUUUGUUAAGGCUGGUUGUCAUGCUUUUAGUUUUUGGGGUGAUAUUUCUGGAAGCACCUUGUUAGAUACAUAGAGUCCUACCACUAAAAUUGCAGAAGACUUUGAUCCUUUGAGUCAUUUAAUUAGAAGGCAGGAAUAAUCCACUACUUCAGACCAGAUAAUGAGGGAUAGUCGGACAGCUGAGUAAAGCAUAACUAUUCACACGAGCCUAUCACCAACAUACUCGAGUUAACUUCAUAUCCUUUAACACCAGGUCAGCCAAACGUGAUUUAGGAAUCAAGAGUUGAAGACCACUCUUUCGCUCAGUAGGAAGCCAUUCGUAAGUUAAUCCGGAUUUGCUGAUGAUUUCAAAUUUGAUGCUCUAGUUGUUUCCAUGUGGUUGCAAAGCAUAUGAAAAAAAAAAGUUUGUUUCAGAAACAUAUUGUAAUCAAUCAAGGGUUGUGCUGAGAUAGGAUCUGUUACUAGAGAUGAUAAACACAACUCGUGGUUUUAAGAAAACCUGAUGGCAAAUCUGCAAUGUUGACCAGAUUUUUUGUUGUUAA